AGAGUUUGAUCCUGGCUCAGAUUGAACGCUGGCGGCAGGCCUAACACAUGCAAGUCGAACGGUAACAGGAAGCAGCUUGCUGCUUCGCUGACGAGUGGCGGACGGGUGAGUAAUGUCUGGGAAACUGCCUGAUGGAGGGGGAUAACUACUGGAAACGGUAGCUAAUACCGCAUAACGUCGCAAGACCAAAGAGGGGGACCUUCGGGCCUCUUGCCAUCGGAUGUGCCCAGAUGGGAUCAGCUAGUAGGUGGGGUAACGGCUCACCUAGGCGACGAUCCCUAGCUGGUCUGAGAGGAUGACCAGCCACACUGGAACUGAGACACGGUCCAGACUCCUACGGGAGGCAGCAGUGGGGAAUAUU
rnacentral:rRNA from 1 species